UUAUUGGGGGCGGAAUGAAUGAGGCGACGAAAUCUAGGCUAUCUAAGUUUUAAAUUAAAUUGACAAAGAGGUCAAAAGGCCUGUGUGGACCAAGGGGACGAUAAGACCCUAUAAAACUUUACUUUUAGUGUGGGGUCUGACGGGGUGUUUUUACAUUUAAAAGUUUUACUGGGGCGGUAGUUAUAAAAACAAUUAGAUAUAAAAUAUAUUAAAUAGUGUAAAAGAACUCUUUUGAGAAAUAGAACAAGUUACUUUAGGGAUAACAGCGUAAUCCCCCCAGAGAGUCCUAAUUGGCGGGGGGGCUUACGACCUCGAUGUUGAAUUGGGGUCUCUUGUAUAAGCAGGUAUAUAUAUGUAGGU
rnacentral:rRNA from 1 species